AUGUAUCUGGAACUGCACUGUGAGGAUAAGGCCAGUGGCAAGAAGAGAAGACCAAAGACUCAACUAAAACUGAAGCCAGAGCAAGAAUGUAUCAUGGUUGUAUCCCGCUCUUCCUUCCACUCCUUGAUAGUGGACAUCUCCCUGGACAAACUCAUUAGGAAGCGCGGGGAGGUAGCGACAGGACAGCUUAAUGCCAGACCGGGAGUUGGAGGUGUUUGAUCUUGAGUUGGGAUUCAGCAAGGCCUUCUCAACCAGUCAGCAAGCACAGCCACCUUCCAGCAAAGAUUUGAUGCCCGGCAGAAGAUUGGCCUCGCAGAUGUCUGGCUCAAACUGGGAGUCACGGAUGCCUGGGAGAAGCUUUUGCAGAAAGAUGCCCGGUUUCGGAUUAAAGGGAAAGUGCAGGAUACCAGAGAUAUGUUGAACUCUUGUUAGCAGCAGACCACAGUGCCCCAGAAGCCCCGCCAGGUCGCUGAUGCCCAGGAGAUCACCUGAAGAGGAGUUCACAUGCUGCCUUCAUGAAUCCACCUAUUGAUAGUGACUCCUGCCCUGAAGCUCACCAAAACCAUCCAGGUUCCACAGCAGAAAGCCACCACACCACUUCAUCCUCAUCCUGCUGGAAUGAGAAUCAAUGUUGUCAAUAACCACCAGGCCAAACAGAAUUUCCAUGACCUGAAUGAAGAAGAUGUUGGUAUAGCUUCCAUUCCUGCUAAACAGAUGAAGUUUGCAGCCUCAGGGCUUUCUCCACUACAUGGCUGCGCUAAGCAGUUCCAAACUUUCCAUGUCCAAGGCCUCCCUCUCACCAAAGUGGUUCAGAAUGACGCAUACACAGCUCCUGCUCUCCCCUCCUCUAUUCGAACAAAAGCCUUGACCAACAUGCCCCAGACACAGGUGAACAACGAACACUCACACCCUGCAAAGAGCUGCUGCCUGCUGAGCCUGUCCUCAGCCCACAGGCACCAAGAUGACUGUGAAUAAUCUGCACCCUCAGUGAAUAAUAGUCACUGAGGAGGACAUUGUUGAGCUUUUGUGUGUGUGUGGAGCCCUCUCAGCUGGUCCAUCCUGGGGUAGUGGAGGUAGUGUUUGUGAAAAAGGACGAUGCCAUCACUGCAUAUAAGAAGUACAACAACCGGUGUCUGGACGGGCAGCUGAUGAAGUGCACCCUUCACGUGAAUGGGAACAUUACCACCUCAGACCAGUCCAUCCUGCUGCGGCUGAGUGACAGCCCCUCGGUGAAAAAGGAGAGCGAGCUGCCUCACAGGGUGAACACUGCCUCCUCCUCCAACCUCCCUGCCGAAGUGGACCCUGACACCAUCCUGAAGGCGCUCUUCAAAUCCUCAGGGGCCUCUGUGACCACACAGCCCACAGAAUUCAAAAUCAAGCUUUGAGCAGGGGAGUGAGGCAGCCAGAAGUGGGGGCAGAGGAGGGUGGCUCUGUUUCCCCAAGGCAAAGCUUGUGACCAAUGGGCCAUCCGACUGGAGAGCCCUGAACGUGGGCAGGGUCACCGGGGGUAAAGCGCUUCCUCACUGGAUGGGACCCGCCUUUCUGUGCUGUGUUCUGCCCUGUGCUCUUCUAUAUUAACAUUUCCUGUAGAAUGUUUCUUCGUCUCCAUCUCACUGCCAAGGUAGGCUUGUGUUUUUCAGAGAGUGCCUCCCCCAGCCUCAGCCCCAAGCGGAUUUCUUAUCUGGAAAUGGUACACUAAAUUCUCUGGGUGGCUUUCUUGUGGCCCCAUAGGAUGCAGGGCAGGGGCUGUCUGAAGGACCCUGGUUUUUCCAGGCGCCGCGGGGCUGCCUUUCCUUUGUGUAUGUUCAGCUUUUCAAACAACUCAGGAUGGCAGGGCUUUCCAUCCCGACGGGAACCAGGUCGGCCUGAGGGCUGUGCCGCUCCUCUGCUUGGUCAGCGGAGAUGCCUGGGUGGGAGCAGGUCUCGGGCCUCUUGUCCUCCCAGUGGCUCCAGGCCUCACUAGUGGCAAGGGCAGGAUGAAGCUCACUGCUGGGAAGAGUCUGUCCAAGCUCUUGGCUUGGAGGCCCAUGCUGCCUCCACCCAGAGGAAGUUCUCCCGAGUUCACCUUUCCCUUGAAUUGUGCUGAAUGCCCCAGCCCAGGUCUCUUUUGCUUCUGGGUGUCACUGCUGGGAGGGGAGUUGCGUUGUGAGCUCUCCUUGUUCUCACCUAGCCUGGCAGUCAUCACGCCCUGGUUUUGGUGCAGCCAGCACUCCUCUGGUUGGGCCUUUCAAAGGCUCCACCUCCCAUUCUGCAACACUGUGGGUUUGGGGCAAAUGCAAGAGGUCGGUUUGCUUCUGGCUUUUCAUUUCUGGCCUCAGUUUUCUAUAGGACAGUGGUCAGGGAUGUCCUGAGGCAUAUAUCCAGCUGCCACGCCAGCGUUCCCACUUUUGUGAGUGACCCAUCCAUCUAUGACCAGAGGGAUAUUUUCCUGCCUUGGCAGAGGAGGAGGCAUCAAAGGAGCCAGGCAGCUCCACCAGGCAAGCUGUUUCCCCAGCAUAGGCACCAGCAGUUGGCACAAAGCUACAGAGCCCAGGGGCCGUCCCUGAAUUACCAGGCUAGUGUUUCCCCUGGUGUCACUGAGUGGUCCACUGCUGGUUUGUUGGGACUGAAGGGAAUCCAGGUUGGCAGAGCUGGAGCCAGUUGGGGAGCGGGAUUCUGGGAGCACUGCAAAAUCAGUUGCAAGUGCUGGGAAAGGCACGUGAUGGAGACAGAGUGCCCAAGACUUGCUUGAGGCUAGCUCAGUGAGGAAAAAACAGAAACUCAUGUUUCCAGAGGUCAGUCUGUCAGGCAGGAAGGACCCAGGGUUUGAACCCAGCUUCAGUCCUCAGGCUCUGAAGUUGUCCAGGCCAGGAAAGUCCAAGGAAGGGGCCUGGUGGUGCUCCACUUCCAGUUCUUUAAAGAUGGGGCUUUUUAUUGUCUUAACUUUCAAGUGGGUGCAGACUGAGUUCUUGUUAGCAGCUGGAAGAUAUUCCUCCUACACUUUCCCCUUCCUGGCGCAGGAGAGCACCCAGAAGGCAGUAGGACCUGUUUUUUCAGGUGCUGGGAACAGGGGGCUCACUGCUUGGACUCUGCUUAGGAUUGGGACAGUAAAUAUCCUGCCACACGGCUUUCCCCUUCCCUCUAAUCCCAAAGCUGGUAUGUUCUGGUUGUCACAGAGUUUCAUUGAGCCCAGCUGCAGCCAUCCAGAGCUGGUGCUGUAGGUAAUCAUCUAGUACAUUGAGGGGACCUGUUUGCCUCCUCCGCUGUAUAAGCUGUCAUCUUGGGAGACAGGAAAGAAAAGGUGGUGGGCCGGUCCUGUGUCCUCCUCUACUUCCCAUGCCUCUGUGUUGCCCAUCUGUGUUUCUUGUGCAAAAAGAGAGGAAGAGGCAUUAAGGGAUGAAGGGCGAUUAUGUAUUACUUAUCCAUUUCUGAAUAAAAGUUUGUUAUUAA